rnacentral:tRNA from 1 species
AAGCUAAGAAAAUAUCAAGAAGAGCUUCUAACUCUACCUUAAGCGGCCCCCCCCCGUUUUUAGCUUU